AGAUCUGCGGGCCAUCAACCCACAUNUUUUGAAAUGCAACUCAGACUCUUUUGUUAAGAUAAGAUCUCCUA
rnacentral:tRNA from 1 species